rnacentral:lncRNA from 1 species
ACAACACGAAAUUAAAGAAAACUCAAAGCAGCGAAACAAAUCCAUACAAGACUGAAUCAAACAACUCGUAAAACAGAGAGACAAGAUAUUGAGAACAAAUGACUCGAAACAGAUUUACAAUCGCAGAAAAUGAAGAACGAACAACACACAGAUCGAAUUAAUACGAGAUUAAAACUCAAAUAAGAGAGAAACACAAUACUUAGCUCAAGCGGACGCAGCUCAAACCUAGGCUCUGAAUACCACAUGAUACAGCCCGCUCCGAACGGAUCGACAGAGAAACAUUGAAUCUGACACGAUUUGAGCCCAUAACCUGAGAAUCAGCAAAAAUCACGGUUUGGAAGUUGAAGACGCAGCGGAAGACUGAAGAUGAAGACCACGAGCUAAGAAUCGGACACAAGAUGCAGCGGAAGAGGGCAAACAGAGGUAAACUCUAGAUUUUAGGAUUUCGAUCGGUGAAAUGCUAGGGUUGGUAGUUUUAAUCGGUGUAUUGGGAGGAUUUACCGAUUGAAUCGGUAGAACGGAAGAUAUCUAGGUUUUUAAUCGGUAAAAAUGGUGAUAACCCUAAAUAAUGGUCAGAGAUGGAUUGUUUGGGCUUUCAAUCGGUAUAAAGGAAGGAAGUCGUAUGAAGAAGGUAAAUUUGGGCUGUGGUUCGGUGGAAAACGACUAGCGGAGGUGGAUCUGUGAAGAACACUUGCGAGGAGAGAUUCGCGAAGGAAACCCUAAGCGAAAGAGGUCUGUGGCUUCGAAUGAGGCUGAUGAAUGAAAUGCGAAAAUGACACGUGAGGAUGUGGAAGUCUGAGAAAUGGAGGUGUGGCUGACGCGUAGGAUCGUGGCAGCAGGUCUGAUGUGCCACAAGGAGGCUGUGGAUUGGUGUAAGAGGUGUACGAUGAUGUUAGGUGGAGAGAGAGAAAUCUGAUGGUGGAAAAAUGAACGAAAUGCAAAGUGAAUGGAAGGUGGCUGAGAGAAUCCCUUGGAUUCUUCAGCCCUGCCUUUGAAGGUAGAAUUGCUCUAGAGCGUUCUCAACAGAAAAACAAUUCAAUUAUCUCAAAAGUGAUUACAAUAAGUGUAGGCAUGACUAUUUAUAAGACUAGAUGUCCCAUAUGCCUAACACAAUACAAAGUUC